rnacentral:rRNA from 1 species
GACAAAUAAGGCCUAGUUAAGAAAUAAGACAGUAAAAAAGGGGGUUAAGAAGUACAAAAAUAUAUUUUAAAUGUUUAUUUAGAAGAAAAAUUAUAUUUCUUGUGGAGGUGGAAUUUGUGCAAGAAAAGUAAUCUUUUAUUUUCUAUUAUUUUGAUGCCCCGAAAUCUUAAACUAAAACCGGGAUUAGAUACCCCGUUAUUUAAGAUGUAAAUUUUAAUUUGUUAUUUAGUUUACUUGAGGAUUACGAAUUUUUAGCUAUUGCUAUUUAAAUCAUUUAAAACUCAAAAGACUUGGCGGUGCCUUAUAUCCUUUCAGGGGAACCUGUCCUGUAAUUGAUAGUCCACGAUUUAUCUUUCCUUUUUUUGAAUUUAUUUUAUAUCAGUUUGUAUACCGUCGUCGUCAGAUCACCUUUUAAAGGGAAGAAGUUAUCAAUUAAAGCGGAUAUUGAUUGUUUUUGGCUUUAUGGGUCAUUAAUUGAUGUAUAUCUUUAGACGUCAGAUCAAGGUGCAGCUUAUAAAGAGGAAGAGAUGGGUUACAAUAAAUAUUUAUUAUACGUAUUUUUUAUUGUAAAAUAAAAUUGAAGGAGGACUUGAAAGUAAUGUGGGAAAAGAAGUAGAGAGUCUUAAUGAAGAUGGUCCUAAGGCGUGC